GAGCUGCUGUUACCGGCAGGGAGCGUCUAGCGGCUGCCGCCCCUCGGCAGGAGAGACGAAUGCCGGGGGCUAGAGGCCAGGCUGGAGGGCGAGCGUGCCAGACCGACCCCCAGCCCACGCCGGCGCUCGGGCUCCUGCUGCCAGUGCCCAGGCCUGGGGCAGCUCACGCCGAUGAUAGCCGUGUGGAACAAAAGCUGUCUUUCGAGUGCUGAGCUAUGCUCCCUGUUUGACUCUUCUGCAAGCCUGGAAAGUUGUGGGGUGCUGCUAUGUCCUGCCAGGCUCCUUCCCCAGCAGAAACAGCAUCAGGGAGGACCAGGAAGACCAAUUAUCAGCAGAAAAUGAGAAGUCAUGAUGUCCAUCUGGCCUGGCACGUUAUAUGCGGUUUACCAGGGUGGAAACCCCUUUCAGAUAUACUUUCCCAAGUCACAGGUAAGGACCCUCUCUCACUGUGGUCACACUGGAGAGAUAGAUGAUAGAAAAGAGGUUUGAAAUCCUGCAGUACAAGCUUGGACUGGGAAAACAGCAAGUAAAUGGAAGAACACCUGAGGUCUGUCAUUUUCAAACUCAUGAUUUUGGGGUUCUAACUUCCCCUGACAGCUCUAACCCAGCUGGUGAUUCCAGUUACAAGCCAUGGCAGCACCUGUGUCCUUAGACCCAUGCCCUUCCUCAGCCCUUAGGCUACUCUGGCUUUCAAUCAACAGGCCUGGUGAGAUAUCACUGAAUGGCUCCCAAAGCUUCGCUUACCAGGGAGACACUGUAUUGUGAGCUCCUUUCAGUGCCACACUCUAGUCUUCACAUCUUAUUUGACAGAAAAAAGGGGGACCCCCCUCCACAAAAUCACUCUGGAAAUAAGCCUCCCAAUUUUAACUACCCAUCCUAUUGCAGUGCUGAGCAAAGAUUUGCUUCAGAAGAAAAAUCUUGUUCUCUGCUAUCAAGCCUACCAAAUUGCAGAAAACCAGCUAUGAGCUUCUGUAAUAAGAAACUGGCUGAGCCUAACAGGGAAGUGAAAUGCAUUAGUCACACCCUCCUGCCACCCCUCACACACUAAGCCCAGAGCUGCAGCAGUACAAACGCACUAAAAACCUCUGUAAGGCUAUACAGGUCCCUGCUGGACUACAUUCAACUGCACAGGGUGUGAUGUACCCCAAUGCAGUUGGAAAUGAAGGCAGAGGAGGGCACAUCUGCUGAAGCCAAGCAGAGACCAUAGCGUGAGCAAUAAGGAGACAUUUUCUUAGGUGGAUCACACACAUCUCACACUCCACAAUGUGGUCUUUGCAGCAAAAGAACCAGCGCCUCCCCAGCAUGUACUUGAUCCUUUAAACUUACUUCAGCCACUUACAUAUGGCUGGGGAACACUGAGCUGCAUAAAACACAUUUCCACUUAUCUGCAGAACUUGGGGAUGGGUCAAAGUGUCCUGUCACAGGGUGGCCGUGAUUUGACCACAUGCAUCAGUCAAACUCUCCAGCCAGCCCACCUCCCAGGACAGUGACAUUUCAAAUCAGAAGAUGGUAAGUGUCUCUUCCCAAGUUAAUUCUCUCUCCUCACUACUGAGGAAAAGCUUAAAAUAAAACCAACUCACAAAAUAACUAAGAGAAUUGUACCACUGUUCUGGAGAGCAGGAGCUGUGCUCUCUCAGCCAGAGGAGCUGGGGCUGGCAAAGCGCAUUCAUCUUGUAAUGCCACUGUCACUCCCUGUCCAUUCCUCAUUUUGCCCUGGGGACAGCAGGUGCAUAGGGAGAGGCAAAACACCUACUGACAGAGCUCAUGGUUGUGGCCCUCACGGCUCUGCACUCCCAAGAUGCACCAGAGCCUAGCAGAACUCUGCACACUGGGGAAAAAUAACAGUUUGAGCCAUGCCAGCUUUACCAAGAGCUAUGAAGAGCUUCAAAGAUGGCUACAGAAGACAGUGCCAACUAUAAUACCUCCACCUUCUCUAAAUCCACUGCACUCCCUAGAACAGGGAGCAACAACAGGAGAUGUGGCUCAUUGCCCAUGAGCUACCCACAGCACCGGUUACAGAACAGGUUUCCCUUUCAAACAUCCAUGGUGUGCAUGAUCGCUGCUGGGGAGUUACAACCAAGACCCUAUUUUAAAGGAGUGCAACUAAGGCAACUUAAGCAAAUCAUCAAACUCCCAUUUUUCUAAACAAAGUUCCAGAUUGAAGUCGGGUCAGGCACAUGCCAAUGUACGCAAUGUGCCUGUCAAGGCUGAUGGAGCAGCUCAGUGGCUUUUCAACAGUGACUCAGAAAUAGCUGCUGCUGAAGCCACUGAGCCCGUUGUGCUCUCCCACUUUCAGAGCUUGUCUAGCCUCUGUCUCGGUCAUGAUCUAUAGCACAUGAUCUGUUUUGACAAGCACAGAGAGGAAAUGUCUCCUUGUGCAAACUGAGAGUUACCCAAGGGUUGUGUUGUACAAAAGCAGCAGCUAAGAGGAUCCUUCACUGCCUUCAUCUGUAGAAACAAACAUUCCCCAGCCAGGCCAAUAUAUUGCUGUUCUUCAAAGAAAAGCUUAUUUUAGGUUAGAAGGCCACUUCAUACGCUUAGGCAGAAUCAGUCAUUAGGAAUAGACCCUUUUGACCACUGCUGUCUUCCAACAUGAGACCUGCUGCAGGACAGAUCGCUCUCUAAAGAGGCUGUGAGAGAGACCUUGAGUUUAAUCAGAAUUGGGAGCAGCACAAGCAAUGACAUGGGCUGUGCAAGUAUAAAAAGACUGUCUUGGAAACGGAAGGUCAAGCUUCUUGCAGAAGAACUAAGCGUGUGUCAAAGAAGGAUCAGAAGAGGCAUUGGAAAAGGAACCAGCAACUGGAAUGCCUCUCACUGUCGUAUCACAUCCCCCAGCCUUGUUGUGGUGCUGCCACUGCUUGCAUUACGUGAACAACACAAGUCUUGAGCUCCAGGUUUUGCCUGGACUUGCCUUGGUCUGUCUGCAGCUACAUUUUAGCUGUAACAGUUAUCUAAUGACCAGGUGAAUAUUACCUGCAUUGUUUUAGUUUAUGUACAAUUGUGUGGUGCAACACUUACUGUUAUGUAUUUUUUUAUAACUAAUAGAUAGCAGGUGCUAGGGAGAGGCCUAUAUAAUUUGCAGGCCGAGAACAGAGCUCCCAGAGCAAAGCUAAUAGAAGCAGCCCACAGACCCAGCAGUUUGUGCAGAAAGGCACGCAGAAGGGGGCUAGCAUACACGUCCUCAGCAACAGUGGUGACAUGCUGCAGGGCACAGUCUCCAAGCCCCCUCCAGAGCAAAUGGCCCUGGCACAUCAGAGGCCUUGACCCAGGCCAAGCUCCUGAGGAAGGAUGCAGCUGUGCAGGCCUGGGGCUGCGGAGCUGCCUGGGGCCUCUGCUGCAGCUGUUGCUGGCAGGGAUGUGCUCCUGGCUCACAGGAGGUGUGCGCUGGGGAAGGUCUAGGUCACCAAGGAAAGGAGCUGUGAGGGGAGGUCAGCAGACUGUGCAGUAUCAGGAAUGACAAAAAAGAGAUUGACUGGGUGUUCUCCAAGACCCUGCAACUUCAAGAACCUGAACCCCUGCCUGCACCAAAGGAGGCACAGGCAGCAUCUGAGCUUAUCCAGGUGGGAAAUGAAGACUCCCAUGAUGAGGAAGGCUGGAAGCUUGUGACUUCUAGCAACAGGAGGGAGCCUUCUGCUCUGCCUACACCUCUGCAACUACAGCAUAGGUUCAGUGCCCUUGCAGAAGAUGUAGACCUGGGAGUCAUAUCCAAUGAAACGUCCAAACAGGCUGAGCCUGAGCUACACAGCAGCACUGGGAGGAAGCGGAGUGAUACUAAUAGGAGACUCACUGCUGCAGGGGACCGAGGCCCCCAUUUGCCAGCCUGACCUCACUGUUUGCCAGGGGCUCACAUCCGGGAUGCUGGAGAGGCUGCCUAGGCUUGUCCAGCCCUCAAACCGUUACCCGCUGCUGCUCUUCCUUGUGGGCACUUACAAUUACAAAGGGAAAACCUGGAGCAUAUCAAGCAUGACUACAUGGCUCUGGAGGCAACAGCCAAUGGUGGUUUUCUCAUUGAUCCCGCUGGUAAGGGGGAAGGGCUUGAGGGUGAACAGAUGGGUCCUGCUGGUUGACAACUGGUUACACAGCUGGUGUCAAUGAAGGCAUUCAGCUUUUAUGACCAUGGGAUGCUCUUUGAGGAUCAAGGAUUACAAGGAAGAAGUGGGAUCCACCUGACCAAAUUGGGUAAAAGCAUCUUUGUCAAGCUGGCAAAGGCUGGCCAACCUUUGGUGGAAGAGGAUCAAGUUAGGGAACACUUAAGCAAACUGAACAUAAACAAGUUCACUGGCCUUAAGGGGAUGUGCUCGCGAGUGCUGAGGGAGCUGGCCAGUGUCAUUGCAAGGCCACUUUUGAUCAUCUUUGAAAGACUGCAAUUGGGGGAAGGCUCCUGAGGCCUGGAAGAAAGCAAAUGCCACUCCUAUCUUCAAGAGAGCCAAGAAGAAAGAACUGGGGAACUAGAAGCUGGUCACCCUGCCCUCACUGCCUGGGAAGGUGAUAGAGCAAAUCCUCCUGAAAACCAUUUCCAAGUAUAUUAAGGACAAGAAGGUGAUCAGGAGUAGUCAGCCUGAAUUUAUGAAGUGGAAAUCAUGCCUGACCAAGCUAAGAGCUUUCUACAGUGAAACAACUGUCUCAGUAGAUGGAGGAAGAGCAGCAGAUGUUGUUUAUCUUGACUUCAGCAAGGUAUUUGACUCCAUUUCCCAUAACAUCCUCAUAGACGAACUGAUGAAGUAUGGGCUGAAGAAGUGGACAGUAAGAUGGAUUGAAAGCCAGCUGACCUACCAGGCUCAAAGGGUUGUGAUCAGCAGCACAAUGUCCAGCUGGAGGCCAGUCACCAGCAGUAUGCCCCAUGUGUCAAAACUGGGGCCAAUACUGUUUAACAUCUUCAUUAAUGACCUGAAUGGUGGGAGAGAGUGCACCCUCAGCAAUGUGCAGAUGACAAAACUGAGGAGUGCCUGAUAGACCAGAUUGUAGUGCUGCCAUUCAGAAGGACCUGGACAGGCUGAAGAAAUGGGCAGAGAGGAACCUCAUGAAGUUUAACACAGGGAAUUGCAAAGUCCUGCACCUGGGGAGGAAUAACCCUGCGCACCAGUACAGGUUGCAGGCUGACCUGCUGGAAAGCUGCUUGGCAGUAAAGGACCUGGGGCUCCUGGUGGACAAGUUGGACAUGAGCCAGGAAUGUGCCCUCAUGGAAAGAAGGCCAACAGCAUCCUGGGCUGCAUUAGGCAGAGUACUGCCAGCAGGUUAAGGGAGGUGAUCCUUUCCCUCUACUCAGCACUAGUGAGGCCACAUCUGGAGGGCUGGGUCCAGUUCUGAGCUCCCCAGUACAAGAGAGACACAAGUCCAGCAAAGAAUCAUGAAGAUGAUUAAGGGGUUGGAGCAUCUGUCGCAGGGGGGAGACACAGAGCUGGGACUGUUCAGCCUGGAGAAGACUCGGGGGGAAUCUUAUCAAUGUGUAUAAAUAACUGAUAGGGGGAGUACCAGAGACAGAACCAGACUCUUCCUAGUGGUAUCCAGUGAAAGGACAAGAGGCAAUGGGCACAAACUGAAAUACAGGAAAUUCAAUUGAAACAUAAGAAAAAAACUUUUUUUUACUGGGAGGGUGGUCAAACACUGGAGCAGGUUGCCCAGAGAAACUGUAGAGUCUCCAUCCUUGGAGAUGCUCAAAACCCAAUCGGACACAGCCCUGAGCAACCAGCCGUAGGUGACUCUGCUCAAAGCAGGUUGGACUAGACAGUCUCCAGAGGUGCCUUCCAACUUCAAUGAUUCAGUGAUUCUAUAAAUAACAAGUAGUUCUGCAAAGAAUGGACUAUCUAUGAGAUGCCAGAAUGGAGGAAAAAAAGGGGAAGGGGGUAGAGGCAUAUGGUCACAGGAUGAUACUGCAGGCCCUAUGCUGUAAGCAACUCACCAGCAGUCAAUUGCUGGCUAGAGUAACCGGGAAUUGGAUAAAACCAGUUUUAGGGAUAACGAAGAACAAGUAUCCAACAUAUGUAAAACACUUCAUAAACAGUAAGUUUGGAUGGGAUGUGGAAUGGCAAAUCAAUGAACCCAAGACUGAAGAGAAAUAAAGCCAUGAACAUUGUACUUCCCAUGAAGGAGACUGUAAACUCCCUACCUCCAGCUGAAGCUAUAGACCUUAGGACCUAAGGGGGCAGUGGAAGGGUGAGCAUAACACCAAGGAAAGGAGUAAAUACUAGAAAGUUUGCAUGUAUCAUUUAACUGUAUAAUGAUACUAAUGCUUAUAGUCAAAUUAUAUAACUAGAUUAAUAAUAAUUCUUAUUAAUAAUUCUUUGAUUAGACUGAAAACUUUAACUAGACCAACAAUAAAUUCUUAGCUUUGUAUA